rnacentral:lncRNA from 1 species
CGCUUGUCUGGCCUGCACAAACCUAGCGGCUCAGCACAGCCACCGGCAGCCCCUCCAGCACCGCUGACGCCUGAGCCAGUGCCCACAGCCCAUGUAAGAACCAGAACUAAGUACGACUUGGGAGCCCAUCAAGCUGAGUGCUGUCCAUUCUGAACCCGAGUCCACAGUACCAGGCCCUCAGGAGCCUCAACAGCCUGAAUCCAGAGGAACAGAAGUCAAAAGCCUGAACCUGUGAGCCACUGCAGGAGAGUGCUGAGGUUGGAGCCCAACAGCCCAGGGUUUUCCAUAGCAGUGCCAUGGAUCCAGAGCCACAGGGACAUCUAAGCCACAUCUCACUCAGCUGCUGCAGCCACCUGUCACAUGUGGCUAGAAUCAUAGAACAGCUCCAGCUUCGUGAGCGCCACAACACACAUGUGUGGAAGUCAGAGGACAGCUUGCAAGAGCAGUUUUCUCCUUCUGCCAUAAGACCCAGAGAUCAAGCUCAGGCCAUCAAGUUCAGCAGCAAGCACUUUGACCCACUGAGUCGUCUCAAUAGCCCACCGAAAGGGAUCACUUCCUUCCUUCCUUCCUUCCUUCCUUCCUUCCUUCCUUCCUUCCUUCCUUCCUCUCUCUCUCUCUCUCUCUCUCUCUCUCUCUCUCUCUUUGGUUUUUUGAGACAUGGUUUCU